AUGGGGCGGUACUUCCGGCCCCUCACUUCCGGCCCCAGCGCUGCGGCGGUCGGUGUGGCAGCGCCGUUCGGGCCCGUUCCGCACCGCGCCCGCCCCUCCGCCCGCAUGCAGCGCCGCGACGACCCCUCCGCCCGCAUGGGCCGGGGUCCGGGGGGGCCCGGAGGCGCCCGCCAAGGGGGGCCCAAUCAGCGGCGGUCGCCCCGAGGCGGGGGGGGGCGUGGGUCCGGGGCCCAGCAGCCGCAGCCGCUGCUGACCGGCGGAGCGGCCGCCGGCUCCUCGGGCGCGCAGGGCCCCGCCGCCGCCUCCCCUGCCCCGCUGCUGCCCGGGGGCGCCGGCAAGAUGGAGCCCGAGAACAAAUACCUGCCCGAGCUGAUGGCUGAGAAGGACAGCCUGGACCCGUCCUUCACGCACGCCAUGCAGCUCCUCAGCGCAGAAAUUGAAAAAAUUCAGAAGGGUGAAACAACAAAGAAGGAUGAGGAAGAGAACUACCUGGAUUUAUUUUCUCACAAGAAUAUGAAACUGAAAGAACGAGUUCUGAUCCCUGUCAAACAGUACCCCAAGUUCAACUUUGUUGGAAAGAUUUUGGGACCUCAAGGUAACACCAUCAAGAGGCUUCAGGAAGAAACUGGUGCUAAGAUCUCUGUGCUUGGGAAGGGUUCAAUGCGAGAUAAGGCAAAGGAGGAAGAGCUGCGUAAAGGGGGAGAUCCUAAAUAUGCUCAUCUAAAUAUGGAUUUGCAUGUCUUCAUUGAAGUGUUUGGACCCCCUUGUGAAGCAUAUGCUCUGAUGGCUCAUGCCAUGGAAGAAGUCAAGAAGUUCCUUGUCCCAGAUAUGAUGGAUGAUAUCUGUCAGGAGCAAUUCUUGGAGCUCUCCUAUCUGAACGGUGUACCAGAGCCGACUCGUGGCCGAGGAGGCCCUGUGCGGGGAAGGGGAGCAGCUCCACCACCGCCUCCACCUGUUCCAAGGUACCUUUCCCAAAAGCAUGGACCUGGAAAUGCUGCAUCUUGCUCAGAGUGGUGCUGCGAGAUCAGGGGGCGCGGUGUUGGGCCUCCCCCUCCGCCGCCUCCUCCCCGGGGGGCCCUGGUGCGAGGAGCCCCGGUGCGGGGUGCCAUUGCCAGGGGAGCAGCUGUAGCCCGUGGAGUUCCGCCCCCCCCAGCAGUCCGGGGAGCUCCUGCCCCCAGAGCGCGUGCGGCCGGCAUCCAGCGGAUACCGCUUCCUCCUCCUCCAGCACCAGAAACCUACGAGGAAUACGGUUAUGAUGAUGCAUAUGCAGACCAGAGCUAUGAGGGCUAUGAAGGCUACUACAGCCAGGGCCAAGGGGACACAGAAUACUAUGAUUAUGGACACGGGGAGGCACAGGAAACCUAUGAAGCUUAUGGCCAAGAUGACUGGAACGGCACCAGGCCCUCCCUGAAGGCCCCCCCAGCCCGGCCGGUGAAGGGCGCCUACAGGGAGCACCCAUACGGACGUUACUAAAAGCAAAAUGAGGGAAAAAUAGCAGUUAUGAGCAAACAGUUGUUACUGAUUCUUGUAUCUCCCAGGAUUCCUGUUGCUUUGCCCACACCAGACAAGAGCGCGGAGCGGCGGACGAGGGCUGAAGGCGAGGAGGGGCAGCGCUCUGGAUCGCUGGAAGCCUGAGCUCCAGAAAUCAGAGAACAAAGAAAUAAGCCUUUGUGCUGCUGGAGGAGUGUAACGGCUUCAAAAGACUGCUGUGCAAAGCCCCGGGAGCGGGACGUGGAAGGACAUGAGACUUAUUUUAUAUGGAAAUGCAGAGCUACCCAACGAGCUUCUCUUAAGAGCGUUAGGAACGAGAAGAUGGUUAUAUGUGGAAAUGGUGCAGCACAAUGAGAUUACCCUCAAUUCUUUGCCUUUAACUUGAAAAUUGGAGCCGUAAUUCUGUUAGGGAAAGACGUCGCAUCUGGAAUUCGGGGGGCUGUUUGUGUAAUGCAUCUCCAUUACAACGUAACUGAAACAUCAGUUCAUGUGCUGGUGUUCCAGUCUUUGCCAUUUCUUUCUUAAUAGGCACAACUUUUAUAUCAAGUGGAAAAGAUUUGAUAGAGAUCAUCUGUUAUGAUGCAGUUUUUUACCAGUAGGAUCUUGUGGCACCGCCUUUGGAGUUGUACAGCUUGCUUGUGCAUCACAUUUAUUGCAUGUUUAUGUGAAAAUGUUGAAUGUUAUGGGGGAAUGUAAAUCUUAAUAUAUUGAAAAUAACUGCAUAUGCUAAAAAUAUUUCAAAAACAUGUUCUGCAUCAGAUAGCUUCCUCCCUCUCAAAGCAUCGCUCCACGCAGAUUGUAGCCGAGAGUCUGCAGAAGCUAAUUGGAGAUCCCAGAAUAGCCGUCAGCGUCGGAUGUGUCUCUGAGAUGCUGUAAUGAGGCACGGUCCGGGGUGAUGCAGGGCUCACAGAAAUAUGUGAGGGUGGAGAUUCCUCGGAGUGCUGGAGGCCGAGUCACCCAAUAACCUCCCCUUUUCUGCUCACAGCCGCUGGAGAUGGCACUGGUUCUGCUGGCUGUUAGCAAACGAGUGCAGAUGACAUUUCACCUCUGGACUUGCCCGUAGAACUAAUCCACAUCUCAUUGUUUGUGGGAUGGUGGCCAAGUCCAUACACAAGAUAAAAGCCCCCACAGCGUGGUGUCCAGCAGCAGUCACAUCUCCCUGUGGAAGUGUUUCCCAGCAGUGCUGUUUGUAGGCUUGGUGUCCUAAAGACACCCUCUGCUACAGAGCUCUCCCUGCUCAGCAGUCCAUCUUCUCUGGCUCCUGCUCUGGGAGGCUGCUGCUGCUUCAGCCUCUGGUCCAGCAUUUGGUACUCAGGCUGCCUUGCUUGGUGCCGUUACACAGCUGGACUCUGUCCUCUUUCAGUGGGAAGUCACCACGUGUCGUGGUUCCCAGCAUCGAGCAGCAGCUGAGCUCCAGCUGGGACUGCAGAGAUGUCCCAAGCAGUUCUUCCUGGAAGGAGACUGUUGUACUGCGUGUAUUCCUUACCCCUGGUUUCAAGUUGCUGUUUAGAUUAUUAGAUAAAGCAAAUGACUGCGAGCUUUAUUUCAUAAUUUAUUGAUGGUAAUUUUUAUGUAGCAUGGCCCUCUGUAAAACUCCAUCUUUGGCAAGUUGGAUCCAGCUGAGGUUUAGGAGCACAGCUGCAUUCCUUGCUUGGCUCUUAGAGCAGAUGAUUUCUCUUGUACAGAAUGAGUUUUCAAAUUUGUAUGAGAGCAUCUGUCAUGGACAGAGCCAGGAAAAGCAAUUGAGAUGUGCACCUCUUCCUCCCUGCCCCACACCGCUGCUCCUGAAGGGCCCACGUGGGCAGGGGGCAGCUGGCACAGAC